UUAGGGUCCAAACCACACUGCAGAAAUAAUCAAGUCUGAGACUGCUUUACCUGUCCUGGCUCAAUGCUAGGGAAUUCUGGAAACGACUGAAAUGCCGGCUCCAUUUUAAACGGAUACAAAUGGCAAUGUGACUCCAACAACAGGGUUAAAUUGCCAUGGAGAGACUCAAUUGGGGUAAACUUUUAUAGUGGGGACUUCGAUUUGGUACUGCAUCAUUGAACCUCCUUGGAUCUACUCAGCACAAAAAAUGCUAGUGUGAAUUGAGCCAAAGGGGAAAAGGCAAUCUUGGAAAACUCAGGUUAUGGGAGAUUUGACACGGUCCCCUUUGAAUUCAGGUUGAGAAAAAACGUUUUGCAAAUUGGUUUAUAUCAUAGUGUGAAUGACCCAGCCUUCUCUGUCAGAGAGCUCUGGAGCCACAAUAAUCUACAAUUCCCCGGAUUUCCUAGCACUGAGCUGGGGCAGUUAAAGCGGUCUCAAAGUGUAUUAUUUCUGCAGUGUGUUUAGGACCCUAGAAGUCUGAUCCUCCAGUGAUGUAAGCGGGAGGACUUGUUCUGCUAGUACAGUAAUUUUAUAGUCAGUCUGAGCCCCAGCUGUGACUUGUAGUGGAGAAAGGCCAUUUCUCCAAGUAAACAGGUGAUGGGUCCAAAGUGCCAGGAAUAGUGAUUGUAGCCCUAAUCCCACCCCUCACAGUGCUGCCUCCCACCCCUCAGGAAUGCAGGAAAUGUGUCUUGUGCAACCAGUUGGACAAGAGGAAGAAGUUGCAGAGAGACAUUGCGGAGCUCGGCUCUUUGGUUUUCAUGGCCUCUCGUCCAAAUCUUUCAUACCUCCUCCCUGCUCCUCGAUUGCGCCAGCUGGCCCGUGACUGGUUGCAGGAAGACGUCCCCAGCUUUGACUAUGGCGGCUAUGCAGUGGGUGACCGACAAGAAUGUGCUGUGCUCCUCUGCAAGUCCCCUGGAGUCAUGGCUGGCUUCCCAUUCUUUGAGGCCAUCUUUGCUGAAGUGGGCUGCUCCGUGGAAUGGCUCCAGUCAGAGGGGGCAUGGGUAGAACCAAUUACCCGUGUGGCCGAAGUCCGUGGGCAGGCGAAAGACCUCCUGCUAGGUGAAAGGGUGGCUCUGAACUGUUUGGGCCGAUGCAGUGGCGUGGCCACGUUAGCAGCAAAAGUCUGCAGGGUGGCACGAGAGGUUGGCUGGCACGGAGAGGUGGCAGGGACAAGGAAGACCACACCUGGAUUCCGUUUGCCAGAGAAAUAUGCCCUCCUGAUAGGAGGAGCAUCCUGCCACCGGUACGAUCUGGGGAGCCUCAUCAUGUUGAAGGACAACCAUGUGUGGGCUUCUGGAAGUAUCACCCAGGCUGUCCAGAGUGCCCGGCGUGUCGGAGGCUUUGCCCUGAAGGUAGAAGUUGAGUGUCGCUCAUUGGAGGAGGCUGUUGAAGCAGCAGAAUGUGGCUCUGAUAUUAUCAUGUUGGACAAUUUUGCUGCUGAGGACUUGCACCCCACAGCCAAAACAUUGAAGACCUCUUUCCCUCAUGUGACAGUUGAAGCUAGCGGAGGAAUCACUGAGAAUAACAUAACUCAGUUUGUGGGGCCCAAUAUUGAUGUGGUCUCCCUUGGAUGCCUCACCCAGUCAGCCAAGGUGGUAGAUUUCUCCCUCAAGAUCAACCGAGAACCAGUCCCUAAGCCACCUCUGCGGAAUUUUGUCUUCUGAGCCUUUGAGAUUUCCAGAGACAGUAAAAUGAGGAGGGAGGUUUGUAGAUGAACUGGAUUGGGAUAGAGCAGGGGAUGGAUUGUACUUGUGGCAUCUGGGGUUUGCCAAAUACCAAACUGUGUAUCAUGCCUGCACUUUUAAAAGAUCCAAAGCAAGAAGAGGGGCUGACAUUUGAUUGUUUUGGGUCAAGGCUUGGAAAGGUUAAACUGGUGGUAAAAAUUUAACUCUGUGGAUCUCUUACCAGCAUAACCAGUGCCUGUUCUGCCUGGAGAUUCUGGAUGCUGGAGUCAAAAUUGUAACUUUUCCAAGCUUUGAUUUUGAUCAGGUUGCUCCACCAGUUCUUCUGCCUAUUCUCUUUCCUGGAGGACUUACCUGCAGUGAGGGAUGGGUGGAAGAAAGAAGGGACCAGUGGGAUAGCACCAAUAUAAAAGGCACAGUUACCGCAUACACUUGUAGCUUAAAGACACAAAAGUGAUCUUGGAAAGUACUGACACCUGGCUUCUCUCUCUAAGGUAUGUGUGGUCUUUUCCAAUUGUGCCUUCCAGCACCUGUUUCAAACAGAUCUGACACGGAAUUAAAAUAAAUUAAACACAUAUUUUAAAGUGGAUUUGUUGUUGCUUAUCUGCUUUAUCAGGGCCUGCCCUAAAGUCAUCAAUACUACUUUUCCUAAAUGCCACCAAUGUCCAAUAUCAGCAACUCAUUGCAUGAGUGGAGAAAACAUUGGCAAAAAGAGAAGAGAGUGACAGUCAAAGAAAUGAAUAGAGAUGGCAGAAAAAGAAGAAAAGGGGACAGAAACAGAAGGUGAAGAAUCAAACUCAUAGAACUGGAAUGGAAAACGUAGGCCAUCUAAUCUGAUCCCUGCCACACAAGAAUAUACAACUGAAGCACUCCUGAAAGAUGCCUAUCCAAUCUCUGUUUAAAGAUUUCCAGUGAAGGAGAAUCCACUACCCUUUGAGGCAAUCUAUUCCUCUGUUGAAUUGUUCUUACAAUAAAAAAGUGCUUCCUAAUUUUUAGGUGGAA